rnacentral:rRNA from 2 species
GCAGUCGAGCGCACUGGCCCAACUGAUAUGACGUGCUUGCACUGAUUUGACGAUGGAUUACCAGUGAGCGGCGGACGGGUGAGUAACACGUGGGCAACCUGCCCUGGAGCGGGGGAUAACAUCUGGAAACAGGUGCUAAUACCGCAUGACUACUAAAACCACAUGGUUUUAGUAUAAAAGAAGGCUUCGGCUUUCACUCUAGGAUGGGCCCGCGGUGCAUUAGCUAGUUGGUAAGGUAACGGCUUACCAAGGCGAUGAUGCAUAGCCGAGUUGAGAGACUGAUCGGCCACAAUGGAACUGAGACACGGUCCAUACUCCUACGGGAGGCAGCAGUAGGGAAUCUUCCACAAUGGGCGCAAGCCUGAUGGAGCAACACCGCGUGAGUGAAGAAGGGUUUCGGCUCGUAAAGCUCUGUUGUUGAAGAAGAACGUGCGUGAGAGUAACUGUUCACGCAGUGACGGUAUUCAACCAGAAAGUCACGGCUAACUACGUGCCAGCAGCCGCGGUAAUACGUAGGUGGCAAGCGUUAUCCGGAUUUAUUGGGCGUAAAGCGAGCGCAGGCGGUUGCUUAGGUCUGAUGUGAAAGCCUUCGGCUUAACCGAAGAAGUGCAUCGGAAACCGGGCGACUUGAGUGCAGAAGAGGACAGUGGAAC